rnacentral:tRNA from 1 species
GGUGGGGUGGCGGAGCGGCUACGCGUACGCCUGCAGAGCGUAUUCACAUGGGUCCGAAAGCGGCCGAGGCCGCCGGGGCUCCCAUCCCCACCU